rnacentral:misc_RNA from 1 species
GGAAGUAAAAGUUGUAACAAGGUUUCCGUAGGUGAACCUGCGGAAGGAUCAUUAUUGUAUAACCGAGGUGCGAGGGCUGUCGCUGACCCGAAAGGUCGUGCACGCCCGAGUGCCCUCACACACAUCCAUCUCACCCCUAUGUGCACCACCGCGUGGGUCCCCCUUUGGCUUGUUCGGAGGGGGGCUUACGUUUUCACACAAACUUUGUAUGCAGUGUAGAAUGUAUUUUUUGUUUUUGCGAUCACGCAAUCAAUACAACUUUCAACAACGGAUCUCUUGGUUCUG